rnacentral:rRNA from 1 species
GACGUAGGAGGCGAGCGUUGUCCGGAUUCAUUGGGCGUAAAGAGCGCGCAGGCGGCUUGGUAAGUCGGAUGUGAAAACCCGAGGCUCAACCUCGGGCGUGCAUCCGAAACUGCCGUGACUCGAGUCCGGUAGGGGAGUGUGGAAUUCCCGGUGUAGCGGUGAAAUGCGCAGAUAUCGGGAGGAACACCAGUAGCGAAGGCGGCACUCUGGGCCGGUACUGACGCUGAGGAGCGAAAGCGUGGGGAGCGAACAGG